ACUAAAAAAAACAAAAAAAAGGAACGGAAAAGGGGAACAAAAAGUUGAAAGCAGCAAAGAAAAGCUGCGCAGCCUUUAGGAGGACCCCACCCCCUUGCACAUCGUCUUCUUCACGACCCCCACCCCCUCGCGUCUAUCUUCUUCAACCAAACCACAGACCCCUCCCCCACCUAAAAAUCCAUUUUUCUUCCACUUUCGAGCUCACCGGAACAAGCACACUCAUACACAAAAUGGAAAAGAGGACGACAAAUUACAAAGACGGAGGGGCCUAUUAAACAAUUCAAAAUCUUUUUUUAAGCUAAAUUUGAGCUGGGGUGUUGGAACGGUAGCGGUCGUGUUCGAGUUCGAACAGGUGCGGUCGAGUUUCAUUGAGACUCCAACGAAGCAUCUCAUUUUUCUGUGUCCGAGGUCGACGCCGGUUCGAGAUUUCCGUCAUAGUUUUCAGCUUACGGUCUGUUCGUGUUCAGCCAUAGUGUCGCCUUCUUCUUGUAACAAGUUGGAAGAUCUUAAUAUAUCGAAAGGCUUCAAAGAUAGAGAACCUGACCCACAAGGUAUACAUUUCAACUGUCCUGGACCAGUCUGAAAAUCAGCAAAUGAAUGAACGACCACAGAGAGGAACACAACAGGGACCUGGUGACCUGGUCCCUUAGGAUUCUCCGACAGAAGUACAAGUCAGUGACUUUCCGCAAUCAUUAUAAAGAGGAACAAAACAAGGACCUGAUCCCUUAGGGUUCUCUGGCAGAAGUACAAGUCAACUGAACAGCUGGAACACAACAGCAGAAAAUGACUAUCUCACAACUGUUACAGAAUAGGAACACAACUGGGACCUGGGGUGUUAGUUUUCUCUAACAUAAGUACAAGUCAACUAUCCAGUUGGAACACAACUGCACAGAAGUGACUGUGCAGACAGUACAACAGUCACUUCUCAUUGGGAAGAAGCGUGUAUCAAGAAUUGACAUCACUAUCUAUUGUGAUGUCUUUUAUGAUAUAAUAACCUGGUGCAAGGAACAACAUUUUUGUGCA